CCAACUUUCUACGUGGAGUGUGGAAUGAGCGUCCGCAUUGGGUAAAUGCAAGUUUACCAAGGGCUAACUAUUUGUAGUCAGAUGUUGAAUAUGGUCUGAAAAAUCUACCAAAAAGUCUGGAAAGAUUUUGAAAUUUGAGUCUGGAAUUUUGAUAUGGAAAACGUGUAGUAACUCUGCAAAGUCUAAGAAAACUGCAACCUUUAAACCCUUCAUUUGACUUUCGCACCCUCUCUGAACUUUUAGGCACGGCCGGAGGAGAGCAACCCAGAUACCAGCCGUAAUUCUGCUGAUAUUCAUCAUAGUUGCGGGCGUGUCUCCAAAUUUGUACGUUUACAUAGUGUCACAGUUUAUAGUUGGAGCUGCACUCGGAGGAUACAGAAUUAACUCCACUGUAUUGGCUACAGAGUGGAUUGGGAUCACCAAGAGGUCCUUUGCCUCCUGUAUGAGCCAGAUGUUUGCAGCUGUUGGACAGUGUGUCAUGGCUGGUCUGAUCUAUGUCAUCCGUGACUGGAGAGUGGCGCAGUAUGUCAUGGCAGGAGCACAGGCCUUUGUAUUGCUGUACAUAUGGUGGAUUCCUGAAUCUGCACGGUGGUUGCUUGGACGGGGCAGAACCGAAGAAGCGAAUAUGUUGAUACGUCGAGUUGCAGCAAUCAAUAAAAAGCAAAUCCCAGACAAUCUGCUG